rnacentral:rRNA from 1 species
GAUGAACGCUGGCGGCGUGCUUAACACAUGCCAGUCGAACGGGAAUUCUUUUAUUGAAACUUCGGUCGAUUUAAUUUAAUUCUAGUGGCGGACGGGUGAGUAACGCGUGGGUAACCUGCCUUAUACAGGGGGAUAACAGUCAGAAAUGGCUGCUAAUACCGCAUAAGCGCACAGAGCUGCAUGGCUCAGUGUGAAAAACUCCGGUGGUAUAAGAUGGACCCGCGUUGGAUUAGCUUGUUGGCAGGGUAACGGCCUACCAAGGCGACGAUCCAUAGCCGGCCUGAGAGGGUGAACGGCCACAUUGGGACUGAGACACGGCCCAGACUCCUACGGGAGGCAGCAGUGGGGAAUAUUGCACAAUGGGGGAAACCCUGAUGCAGCGACGCCGCGUGAAGGAAGAAGUAUCUCGGUAUGUAAACUUCUAUCAGCAGGGAAGAUAGUGACGGUACCUGACUAAGAAGCCCCGGCUAACUACGUG